GGGAAUGGGAAUGGGCUCUCAGGAUCUCUAGAUGGCCUCAAACCUGCCUCUAAUUUCUCUUCUAAAACAAUUGAAUAUGAGCUACAUACCUAUUGGUUAUUAGUUCAAGCAAACUCCAGGAGUUCCAUAAUUGCAAAGCAGAUUGCAGGAAGCAGGUUAAGCUACUGUUUCCUCUUCUUGACGCCAUUUUUGGAGUUCACCCUCAACCAUACAUUGUGCAGCUGAGGCAUUCUCAGCCGCCUUCAAAGAAAGAAAAUGUGGAAUCUACAAACGUAAUCAGUUACCUUAAAAGAGUCCUCCUUGAUCAGAUUCGGUGAAACCAAGAGCCAGAGAAAGAGAAGAAGCUAAAGAAGAAGCCAAAGAAGGGAGAGCAGGCCUGGAAGGUUCUUGGGUAUUCUGGCUUGUCGGUUGUGAAGCUCUGGGUCUUGUUCGCAAAAGGAAGAGAAGAGUUUGUUGUGCUAUUUUUGGAGGGGAGAAGGUAACGAUUUUUUCGCGGGUAUUUAAUGGUAUGAGGAGGACAUGCCAAUGGUGACAUAUGUGUGCGCGCGCACUGCAGACCCUGACGAGGAGCCUCUGCUUUUGGUGAUCAACACGGUCUUAUCAGUUAUGGCGUACAAUUACCCACCAGAGAAGAUUAGUGUCUACUUAUAAUAUGAUGGUAGAUCAGAACAAACAUUCUAUGCUCUAUUAGGGGCUUCAAAACAUUGGCUGCCAUUCUGUAAAAAGGUCAAGGUCGAAUCAAGAUCGCCUGAGGCUUACUUCCGUACAGCAUCUCAACCUAUAGAUGAUGAACAACUUGAGGCCAAGGAAUGGUUUUUCAUCAAGGUAAUCAUUUAAACAGAACUUGUCCAGUGACUCUGAUAUUGUAGGAAUCAUAUGAAGAGAGAAAGAAGAUUGAAAGUGCCACAAUGCAAGGCAGAAUCUCACAAAAUAUAAGAAAACAGCACAAGGGAUUUCAUCAGUGGGACUUGGUCUGGUAUGAAUCGACUUCUCUGGCUUCUUACCUUCCUUCAAACAACUGGUUUUGUAAUGCAAGCAUUGACUACUCAUAUACCAAUUUAUGAUUUACAGAAAGGGAAUGAGGAGUCACCAGAAAAUGAAUUAUUUGAAUUAUUAGUAAGGUGAAAAAAAAACAUCUAUGUGGAUUUAUCUUUGUGAUCACU